AUGAACGCUGGCGGCGUGCCUAAUACAUGCAAGUCGAACGCUGGAGAUCUAGCUUGCUAGAUCGAAGGAGUGGCGAACGGGUGAGUAAUACAUAAGCAACCUACCCACGAAGACUGGGAUAAUCUCUGGAAACGGGGACUAAUACCGGAUAGGUAAUCGGAAGGCAUCUUCUGGUUAUUAAAGGUUAAAAACACUGGUGGAUGGGCUUAUGGCGCAUUAGUUAGUUGGUGAGGUAACGGCCCACCAAGACGAUGAUGCGUAGCCGGCCUGAGAGGGUGAACGGCCACAUUGGGACUGAGACGCGGCCCAGACUCCUACGGGAGGCAGCAGUAGGGAAUUUUCGGCAAUGGGGGCAACCCUGACCGAGCAACGCCGCGUGAGUGAAGACGGCCUUCGGGUUGUAAAGCUCUGUUGUAAGGGAAGAACGGUAGAUAGAGAAUAUCUAAGUGACGGUACCUUACCAGAAAGCCACGGCUAACUACGUG
rnacentral:rRNA from 1 species